rnacentral:rRNA from 1 species
AGUGGAUGGGGAGCAACCUAGUUGUGCGUGUGUAAAGGUAGUGCCAAGAAAAGCGAUGAUCAUGUUGAAAAUCAAUUCCCGGUACCCGAAACCGACACAGGUGGGCAAGUAGAGAAUACUAAGGGGCGCGAGGUAACUCUCUCCAAGGAACUCGGCAAAAUGACCCCGUAACUUAGGGAGAAGGGGUGCCACCGAGAGGUGGUCGCAGUGAAGAGGCCCAGGCGACUGUUUAGCAAAAACAUAGGUCUCUGCAAACUCGAAAGAGGAGGUAUAGGGGCUGACGCCUGCCCAGUGCCGGAAGGUUAAAGAAGUUGGUCAGUUUUAGGAUGAAGCUAGCGACUGAAGCCCCGGUGAACGGCGGCCGUAACUAUAACGGUCCUAAGGUAGCGAAAUUCCUUGUCGGGUAAGUUCCGACCCGCACGAAAGGCGUAACGAUCUGGGCGCUGUCUCGGAGAGAGGCUCGGCGAAAUAGGAUUGUCUGUGAAGAUACGGACUACCUGCAUUUGGACAGAAAGACCCUAUGAAGCUUUACUAUAGCUUGGAAUUGUGUUCGGGCUUCCUGUGCGCAGGAUAGGUGGGAGGCGUAGAAGGUAUUCUUGUGGGGAUACUGGAGCCAACGGUGAGAUACCACUCUCAGGAGGCUAGAAUUCUAACUUAAUUAAGGACAGUUUCAGGUGGGUAGUUUGACUGGGGCGGUCGCCUCCAAAAAGGUAACGGAGGCGUACAAAGGUUCCCUCAGACUGGUUGGAAAUCAGUCGAAGAGUGCAAAGGCAGAAGGGAGCUUGACUGCGAGAAGUACAGUUCGAGCAGGGUGGAAACACGGUCUUAGUGAUCCGACGGUGCUGUGUGGAAGGGCCGUCGCUCAACGGAUAAAAGUUACUCUAGGAUAACAGGCUGAUCUCCCCCAAGAGUUCACAUCGACGGGGAGGUUUGGCACCUCGAUGUCGGCUCAUCGCAACCUGGGGCGGAAGUACGUCCCAAGGGUUGGGCUGUUCGCCCAUUAAAGCGGUACGUGAGCUGGGUUCAGAACGUCGUGAGACAGUUCGGUCCAUAUCCGAUGUAGGCGUGAGAAUAUUGAGAGGAGCCUUCCUUAGUACGAGAGGACCGGGAAGGACGCACCGCUGGUGUACCUGUUAUGAUGCCAAUUGUAAACGCAGGGUAGCCAAGUGCGGAGGGGAUAACCGCUGAAAGCAUCUAAGUGGGAAGCCCACCUCAAGAUGAGUAUUCUGGUGUAAGGUCACGGGAAGACGACCCGUAAAUAGGCACGAGGUGGAAGUGCAGAGAUGUAUGAAGCCGAAGUGUACUAAUAGACCGUCGGCUUG